rnacentral:rRNA from 1 species
UAGGGAAUCUUCCACAAUGGACGCAAGUCUGAUGGAGCAACGCCGCGUGAGUGAAGAAGGUUUUCGGAUCGUAAAGCUCUGUUGUUGGUGAAGAAGGAUAGAGGCAGUAACUGGUCUUUAUUUGACGGUAAUCAACCAGAAAGUCACGGCUAACUACGUGCCAGCAGCCGCGGUAAUACGUAGGUGGCAAGCGUUGUCCGGAUUUAUUGGGCGUAAAGCGAGCGCAGGCGGAAUGAUAAGUCUGAUGUGAAAGCCCACGGCUCAACCGUGGAACUGCAUCGGAAACUGUCAUUCUUGAGUGCAGAAGAGGAGAGUGGAAUUCCAUGUGUAGCGGUGGAAUGCGUAGAUAUAUGGUAGAACACCAGUGGCGAAGGCGGCUCUCUGGUCUGCAACUGACGCUGAGGCUCGAAAGCAUGGGUAGCGAACAGG